rnacentral:lncRNA from 1 species
UGGAAAGUCUAAUUAACUUCAGACUUUUUAAAAAAUCCGGUUCUCAUGUUAAAAAUAUAAGGGUAGCCACUGAAGAACACAAAUAAGCCUGUGGUCCCAGCAUCUUGAGAGGCCGAGGUGGGCAGAUUGCCUGAGCCCAGGAGUUUUAAGACCAGCUUGGGCAACACAGGAAGAUCCCCUCUCUAUAAAAAUUCGCUGGGCAUGGUGGCGCGCAUCUAUAGUCCCAGCUACACUGGAAGCUGAGAUGGGAAGAUCACCUGAGCCCAGGAGGUCAAGGCUGCAGUGAGCCGUGAUUACACCACUGUCCUGGACAACAGCACAAGAACUUGUCUAAAAAGAAGAACAUAAAUAGAAUGUAUAACUUCAAAACCAGAAGAGGAAAGAUUUAAAAGAAAAAAAAAAGCUUUAUCAAUCUGAUGGAGGGCAGAAAAGGAGGAUAAAGGCACAAAGAGAUGACGUCUCGCUAUGUUGGACCAGGCUGGUCUUGAACUCCUGGACUUAAGCAAUCCGCUCGCCUCAGCCUCCCAAAGUGCUGGGAUUACAGGUAUGAGCCACUGCAUCCGGCCCCUACUUUCAUAAUCAGAAAGAAAACAAAUCUGAUGUCUUAAACACACUAAAUACAACGAGAACAACAAUAAAACAAGUUUGUUCACGCCUUCUGUAGAACUGAACCUUGGGGUGCCCUGAUCGUGGCUCAACUGGCUGAAUU